AUCAAGAUUCGAGAAUCAAGAUGUAGAAGACGAGGAGUCGACUCGACACUAUCAUGUUGAUAUCCUUCUCAAAACACACGAUUUCUAAAUAUAUCCUCUUGAUUACUCUCUCUCAAUUUAUGAAUACACCAUCUUUUGAUCGAUUUAUGUAUUCCCUCUUUUAAUCGAUUUUUGUAUACCAUCUCAUCAUUUUUUCCUGAUUUCACUCUAUAUAUACCCGAUAGAAGAAACCCAAUUUUUGGAUAUCGAGAUGGCGAAAUAUGGUGGGUCAAGACUGGGGAGACUUGGACACUUUCAGGAGGAGGUUCACUUCUUUACUCGAUUUAAUUUUUUAGAUGCUUUGGGCAUUACAAAUGACUUUUACGGUUGUUCGGGAGGUUGUCCCAGUUAUAAUUGUUUCUGCGGAAAAAUAAUCAAAGUUGAAGCUAUUGAAAUCAUAAACUACCGUGACUAAAGAAAGAUUGGAUGGGUUAACAAUCUCAAGUAUUGUUUUUACAGAGUCUUAAUUACUGUAAAAGAAGAUGUAAAUGCUUCAAAACAU